rnacentral:rRNA from 1 species
CCUACGGGAGACAGCAGUGAGGAAUAUUGGUCAAUGGUCGGGAGACUGAACCAGCCAAGCCGCGUGAGGGAGGAAGGUACAGAGUAUCGUAAACCUCUUUUGUCAGGGAACAAAGGCGGGGACGUGUCCCCGGAUGAGUGUACCUGAAGAAAAAGCAUCGGCUAACUCCGUGCCAGCAGCCGCGGUAAUACGGAGGAUGCGAGCGUUAUCCGGAUUUAUUGGGUUUAAGGGGUGCGCAGGCGGUCUGUUAAGUCAGCGGUAAAAGCCCGGGGCUAAACCCGGGCCCGCCGUUGAAACUGGCAGUCUCGAGUUGGAGAGAAGUAUGCGGAAUGCGCGGUGUAGCGGUGAAAUGCAUAGAUAUCGCGCAGAACUCCGAUUGCGAAGGCAGCAUGCCGGCUCCACACUGACGCUGAGGCACGAAAGCGUGGGUAUCGAACAGGAUUAGAUACCCUGGUAGUC